CUAUCCCCGUGUAUUUCAAAUUUAAUGUCUUUUUCCUCAUCAACGUACGGAAAAAAAGGAGGGAAAGGACAAGAAAAAAAAAAAAACCAAAAAACACAGGGUGCCCCAGCAGGGGUAGGCAGACCUUGUUACAACAGAAAAUCUUUGUAAAACUUGUCGACCAGUAAGAUUUUUUACAAGUAGCUUUUCUUUGUUUUCAAGCUCUGCCUAUCCCUGCUGGGUAGACAGUUGCCGGCCAAGUCUGCCGGACAGAAGCAGGCAACAACUUCCAGAAAUGCUUGGAAACGGAGAAGAGGAGUCUGCAGCCAGCUCCACCGAGCUACAGCUCCUCUCAUCUCGAAGAAAUCCACAGAACAUCUAUCAAGGGCAGAACUUCCACCUUAUAUCGUUCACUGAGUUUAAUAAAGGCUCCUAUGUCCAUCGUUUCAGUCUUCAACCCAGGGUAGCCAUCCGCAGAAGGGAAGAAGACUCACAGCAGGAGGAUGAACCCACUGAUCUGGAAAACAACAAUUCUUUUAAUUUUGUGUUUAGAUUAAAAACUGAUUUUUUAUCACAGGACAACAAAAAUAAUCACAAAACUCCCCGUGUAACACCUAAUCACUGGAAAUAUUUCCAAGAGUCUUACCGUGAUGAAUUCAAAGGAAAGACAAAUCAGCAUUUAUUUGCUGUUUUGUUUUUAGGGGAUAGUAUUAAACAAAUCUUUUCUGUUAGUCGGCCAGAAUUUCCAAUUAAGAAAGGCAAGAAUUCUGCCACCAAAUUUGCUAUACACACAGAAGAGAUUUUAGGCAAAAAAGUUGAUGAGUUUCUGGAAAAUUAUUCCAAGCACAUUGAAC